GUUCGGAUAUUACCCGUUCGGGUUCGGAUAUCCAAUCUCUCCGAAUUCAAUACCCGUUCUGAUAUUUUGCUACUUCGGUUCGGAUUUCGGUUCGGGUUUUUCGGAUCGGGUUCGGGUGCCACUUCGGAUUUCGGGUAAAAUGCCCACCCCUAACUACAUCAGCAUAUCACAGAUAAAGAUUACCGUUUAUUUGACACCGUUGUCGGUCGUAGGCACUUAAAAGCCUUUUAUUUCUAAUUUAGGUAUUAAAUUCAAAUUUCCUAUUAGUUUACGAAUCAGAUUGCACAUGCAAAUAGUUUAUGUAUCGAUUAGACGAUAUGACCUUAGUUCAAGCACUGAUCUGCCGUUUUCCCCCUUCUUGGUAAGUAAUCUCUUUAAACAAAUCUUUAAUGUCACCCAUUUAGUUGGUGUCAAACUUUAAUAAUAAAAUAUUUAUGUGUGUUUACUAAUCAUCAGUGUUGUUUAUUAUCACCUAAAUUUGGCAAGAAUCUCAAAAUAAAAAAAACUUUAAAACAGUUUGAUGUAUAAGGUAAUUAGGUAAUUUCCAGUUAGGUGCACAAGAAAGAUAAAUCACAACCUUACUAUAUAUGUAAUCACAACCAUUUAAUAAUAGAAAACCAUUGUACAUAAUCGCGCGUAUAUAGUUUUCUUAUAAGUAAC